GAUGAACGCUGGCGGCGUGCCUAAUACAUUCAAGUCGAGCGAACAGACCAGGAGCUUGCUCCUCGUACUGUAUCGGCGGAUGGGUGAGAAACACGUGGAUCACCUACUUAUUAGACUGGGAUAAUUUCGGGAAACCGGAGCUAAUACCGGAUAAUAUAUUGAACCACAUGGUUCAAUAGAGAAAGACGGUUUUGCUGUCACGUAUAGAUGGAUCCGCGCCGCAUUAGCUAGUUGGUAAGGUAACGGCUUACCAAGGCGACGAUGCGUAGCCGACCUGAGAGGGUGAUCGGCCACACUGGAACUGAGACACGGUCCAGACUCCUACGGGAGGCAGCAGUAGGGAAUCUUCCGCAAUGGGCGAAAGCCUGACGGAGCAACGCCGCGUGAGUGAUGAAGGUCUUCGGAUCGUAAAACUCUGUUAUUAGGGAAGAACAAAUGUGUAAGUAACUAUGCACGUCUUGACGGUACCUAAUCAGAAAGCCACGGCUAACUACGUG
rnacentral:rRNA from 1 species